AGCCGAAACGGUCAGAAAUGGCCGUCCUCCGCGGGAUCGCCUCCCGGAGCUGAUGAGGCAGGCGAGA
rnacentral:hammerhead_ribozyme from 1 species